GCCCUGUGACUAUAUGUUUAACGGCCGCGGUAUUUUGACCGUGCGAAGGUAGCGCAAUCACUUGUCUUUUAAAUGGAGACCUGUAUGAAAGGCAUCACGAGGGCUUAGCUGUCUCCCCUUUAAAGUCAAUGAAAUUGAUCUCCCCGUGCAGAAGCGGGGAUAUGCUCGUAAGACGAGAAGACCCUAUGGAGCUUAAGAUAAAAGGCGAGUCAUGUCAAACACCCCUUCAAAGGAAGUUGAACGAAAUGAUACCCGCUGGAAUGUCUUCGGUUGGGGCGACCGCGGGGAAAGACAAAACCCCCACAUGGACCAGGGCCACUAUAGCCCUAAAACCUAGACCCACAGGUCAAGUCAACAGUAAAUCUGACUACCAAAGAGCCGGCAAUGCCGAUCAACGGACCGAGUUACCCUAGGGAUAACAGCGCAAUCCCCUCCCAGAGCCCUUAUCGACGAGGGGGUUUACGACCUCGAUGUUGGAUCAGGACAUCCUAAUGGUGCAGCCGCUAUUAAGGGUUCGUUUGUUCAACGAUUAAAGUCCUACGC
rnacentral:rRNA from 1 species